UACGUAGGGUGCGAGCGUUAUCCGGAAUCAUUGGGUUUAAAGGGUCCGCAGGCGGAUUUAUAAGUCAGUGGUGAAAGCCUACAGCUUAACUGUAGAACUGCCAUUGAUACUGUAAGUCUUGAAUUUGGUCGAAGUGGGCGGAAUAUGACAUGUAGCGGUGAAAUGCAUAGAUAUGUCAUAGAACACCGAUAGCGAAGGCAGCUCACUAGGCCAACAUUGACGCUCAUGGACGAAAGCGUGGGGAGCAAACAGG
rnacentral:rRNA from 1 species